UGAGAUUAUUUGAUGAGAGUUUAUUUUGUCUACUAAAUACUAGGUGCUGGGUUUCAGAGACAAGCAAGACACUGUUUCUGUUCUGGAAGAACUCAAACUGAUGGAGGAGACAGAAAAUCCAUCAAUUAUGGAAGACUGGAGACGGAAAAAUGGCAAGGGAAAGGCAUGACAUCUUGCCUUUGGGAAGUAGAGAGGCAGAAGUUUCUUAGAAUAAAACCUUGGUUAACUGGAAUGCAAAUUCCUAGCGCCGGAUCCAGUGCAUCAGUUCUGAUUCGUGUAAGCAGUAAUAACCAGAAGCAGCGGGAUAUAGCAUGGAACUUUAUUGCAGCAAACCAGCCACUUUGAGAUUCAGGAAUGAGAAUAUAGUCAGCAGGCAAUUUUCAGGGAAUCCGCUUCUCCAGUUAGUAGGUAUUUUCAUCCCACUCUACGGUAAGCUCCGCCUGGUACAGGUGUUAUUUCUAUUUUUAUUUAUUUGCUUAUUUACAAGUGUCUGCUUUUGUGCCUGGUAUAUAUAUACAGAGGGAGUGCAAAACUGUUCCAUAAAUGAAUCGCUAUUAUUAUAUGUAUCAGUCAGCAUAUGCUAAGUUAUGCUGGGGUAACAAAUACAGAACUGAAGAUGUAUGUAUUAUUCUUGCUGUAAGUCCAUCUCAAGUCGAUUGUUCCGUGCUAUCUUUACUCUGAGAUCCAGACUAAUGGAGCAAUUUUUAUUUGGAAUAAUCCUAGUCUCUUGGCAGAGGAAUAAGAGGACAGUGAGGUUGACCACAUGCCAGUUCCAGAGUUUUUGCUCGAGAGUGAGAUGCCUUACUUCCAUUCACAUUUCACUGGCCAGUUCAAAUGAAGAUCAGGUCUGACUUCAAGAGGCUGUAAAAUUAAAAUUCUCCUGCACACGAUCCCCUCUUAAUCUCCUUCACGUUUUGUCAGUGUUUAAUAUUUACUUGUAGUGAUGUCCCUAAGAUAUAAUUUAGGGAACACAAUAUUUCCUUGUAAUUUUAAACAGGCACAACUAAUUUGAAACCUUGAACAGCAGAUAUAUGUUUUGUGCUCAGCACUCCAAUCUUAUACGUCUACAGUCCUGUAUAAAAUGGAUCAAUGCUUAGAGCAGUGAUGCUGUUAGCCCUGGAAUGAUCAUCAAUCAUUAGAGACAACUUCUGUCUUGAUUGCCAUCAGCUUAUAGUUACUAAAGCAAAGCACAAACUUGAUACAUUUUAGGAAGAUUUUCAACAAAAAACAAUUGAAACAAACAAACACUAAGAGGUUAUCUGUUGACGUCACUUUUCAGUUCUUGCAGGAAUACAGGGAGGCAUAGGAAUAUCACAUUCAGGAGUAGGAGUAGUUUUAUUCUAUUUUUUUAUAUUAUUCUGUUCAGGAAAUCAUUCCUCCAAGUAAAUGACCAGCAGUAAGAUUAUAACUAAGGUUGAAAGAGUUGCCUAAUAGACUAGAAAGGGAAAAAUAAAAAUGAAAUUAAAAAAGAAGUCUUUACAAGGGGAAUGGGGGAGGGAAGGUGUUUGGGAUUAGCAGAAGCAAACUAUUAUAUACAGGGUGGAUAAACGACAAGGCCCCACUGUGUAACAUAGGGAACUCUAUUCAGUGUUCCGUGAUACGCCAUAGUGGAAAAGAAUGUAUAUGUAUAACUGAGUUACUUUGCUCUAUAUCAGAAAUUAACACAAUAUUGUAAAUCAGCUAUUCUUCAAGAAAUUUUUAAAAAUGAAGUCUUUAGUAAUAAAGUAAAAGAAUUUUAGAGAGGGGCUGCACUUUAAGUCAAUACUAAGGAUUGGGCAGGAAAGAGA
rnacentral:lncRNA from 9 species